UGUGUAGGUAUAUAAAUUACUACUUACAAAAUGAAAAUACUGCAAAUAUGUUAAAUAUAAAUAAUAAAUUAUAUACAUUUGUAAAAAUUCUAACCGAUACGCGCAGAUGAUACUCAAAAACAAUUGUUGUACAGUUAAGUUCAAACUUCUUAUAGGUACCUUUGUUGAAUACAUUUUAACCCGUGUAAUUUUAACAUUCGAAUUUUUGUCUUCUAUUUUUAAAAUCCAUCCUUAUCUUAGCACUGUUUAAUUGCUCAGAUGUUUUUUUUUUUUGGAAUUCGUGUAAGUAUUAGAAUUUAUACAAGGCUCGUUCAUAUCAUUAAAUUGUAUGUUCAUUUAAGAUUGUAAUUCAAUUAUAAGUUUGGCUUUUAGACCAGAAAAUGUACCAUAUAAAGUGAAUAAAUAUCGUUAAAUUAAAAGUCAUUUAGAUAUUUUAUUAUGAAUGCAAAUUACUAAAACCAUUUUUGAAAUCAAAAAAUUCCUAGCUCAAUAUAUUUUACUAUGCUAUUUUUACAACUUGGUAACUGUGAGCGCAUUUUACAAAUCUCAUUAUGACGGCGAUGUUUUAUAUUUAUUUUCACAGGUCAAAAAUUAGUGCCAAUGGAAUUUAGGUACAGAUUUUUUGGAUAAAAAAAAUGUACUGACGCAAGACACAACGUAUAAAAAUAAUCUGCAAAAUUUUAAUUUAAAAACCGCCUAUUUCGGGUGAUUUCAGACCUCCUUUACCAAUACCGAACCUCCUUAAUCCAAAAUGUUUGAAUUCUACUCUGUGGGAACAACGAAGCAAGUGCUUUGUCACAUUGCCAGCACUGUUUGCACCCUGCAAAAAAACUCAGGGAUCGCGUCCACCAAUUUGUCCGGGCAAUUAGCGAGCGGCCCACCGACAUCAAUAACACCUGUUCUAAUGUUCACGAUCCGUAGACAUUAAUGAGUAGUCUUGUACAUUUACUGAUUUUGUUUUAUUUCAUUUAAAUCCACUGCAGUGAUCGCGGUGUACAGAGAAACUAGUACAAAGUAGCUGUGCAACUAUGAGGUACAUUUGAAAAAAUACAAAUCGAAGUUCAAUUCUAGGUGCAUAAAAAAAAAUUAUUUUUCCACGAUAAAUGAAAACACAGAAGAAAAUGCUGUUGAAGAUGAUCAGUGAUUUUUUUCAAAAAGUAAUACAGUAGAACCUUGAUUAUUUGACUAAUUGGGACCAUACCGAGUUUGGAUAAGCAAAAGUUUGGAUAAUAGAAAUUAAAAAAAAAUUUAUUUGUACAAUGCAUAUUUUAGAAUUAUUGUUAAAUAUUAUUUCUAUCAACCUACACUUUGUAUUUACUACACAUUACCUAUUGGGUUGUUUCUUACUAUUUAUUGCAAAGUCUAUUAUUAUUAUUAUAAUCAGAAUAUAUAUUAAUAAACGUUUUAGAGUUAUUUUACAGUACAGUACAUAUGGGCAGAUAUUCUUUGAAGAUAUUGGGGGUGGAGAUACAAUUCUUUACAUCAUUUAUAAAAUCAUUCAAAAUACACUAGACAAUUAAGUAUUAACACAUCAAUAAUUAAUUGAUAUCUUUUAUUAUUUUGUUAUAUCGUGUGUGUAAUUUUAUUUGUGUCCUAAUUAUCAU